GACGAACGCUGGCGGAGUGCUUAACACAUGCAAGUCGAACGGAAAGGCCCUGCUUUUGUGGGGUGCUAGAGUGGCGAACGGAUGAGUAACAAGUGAGUAACCUGCCCUUGACUUUGGGAUAACUUCAGGCAACUGGGGAUAAUACCGGAUAGGAGCUCCUGCUGCAUGGUGGGGGUUGGAAAGUUUCGGCGGUUGGGGAUGGACUCGCGGCUUAUCAGCUUGUUGGUGGGGGAGUGGCGUACCAAGGCUUUAACGGGUAGCCGGCCUGAGAGGGUGACCGGCGACAUUGGGACAGAGAGACAGCCCAGACACCUACGGGAGGCAGCAGUGGGGAAAAUUUCAGAAUGUGCGGAAGCCUGAUGCAGCAACACCGCGUGCGGGAGGACAACCUUCGGGUUGUAUACCGCUUUCGCCUGUGACGAAGCGUGAGUGACGGUAAUGGCUAAAGAAGCACCGGCUAACUACGUG
rnacentral:rRNA from 1 species